UGUAUACUCCCUCCGCCUGAAAAUACUUGUCAUAGAAAUGGAUGUAUCUAAAUGUAUUUUAGUCCUAGAUACAUCUAUUUUUAUACAUUUGUGCGACAAGUGAUUUCAGACGGAGGGAGUAGUUU
rfam:Hordeum vulgare subsp. vulgare, WGS project CAJW01000000 data, contig: morex_contig_64501